AUAAAUAUACCCAGGAAUAAUAUUUGGAUGUUUUUGUAUUGUCACAGACUCUGGAUGCAUCUCCAACAACAGCAUGGCAUGGCUUCUUGGCAACUAUGGGAGAUUCUCUGUCUUCGUCCCACUCAAAAGUCUAUUUGAUCUCAAUAAGGACUUUGAUCCAGUACGUGUGUUUUCUGUUAUACAAUCAUUACUUUCUCAUUAUGCAGAUUUGUAUUCUCUUCAAGUGCAUACAGGUAUCUAGCCAUGGUCUUAAUUGUAAUCAUUUGAAAUACUUUUCUCUCACUCUCUCUCUCUCUCUGGCAGCUGGCAGUAUUGGAUCUUCUCAGUCCUAAGCAGACGGCUGAGUUGAUGGUUCUGCCUCUCCCUCAUCCCCAAGGCAAAGAUGAGGUCAUCAACAGAGUGCUGGAUCACCUGCUGGAGUCACCAGUGGAGCGGAACCUUCCAGAAGUUCUGUAUCACGUCGUUGUCCUCUCCAGACAGCUUGAACCACCUUGUGAGUUCUAUCAAGCAAUAAUCCCGAGGCUAAGAGAAUCGUUGACGUCAGUACCAGGAGAUCUGGAGCCAAUCAUCAGUGGAGCUGUGGCAGGACUACUCGUACUUACUCCAACAGGUCUGUGCCUAACACACAGACACACACACACACACACACACACACACACACUAUUCUUACUUUUUUCCUGUCUU
rnacentral:lncRNA from 1 species